GGUGCUAAAAGUGGUAUUUUUCAGACUCAUAAUCCGUUGGUCCUAGGUUCGAGUCCUAGUGGGCCCACCA
rnacentral:tRNA from 1 species